rnacentral:lncRNA from 1 species
CCCCCUCUAGACACCUCUUCUCGAUACUUUCAGUUGGUAUCAGAGCUUUGGUCUCCAUUGCUUUGGUUUAAACACCACUAGUGGACCUAUUGCGCCAAAUGGCGCAGAGGCACGCUAAAUCCAUGUGCGCGAUGAAAAAAAAUAUCCAUGGUUUAAUCCCCUUGAAUAGGAAACAUGGUGGAUUGUUGUCUACAAUGAUAUAUAUAUAUAUGUAUACACAUUUCAAUUUGAUAGUACAAAAUACAUGCUACCAUGUUUGCAGAGACCCAUUUGAAAUCAUGUUCGUAGAUGGCAUAGAUACCCACUAACACCAUGUGUUCUUUGAAAAAAAAAUCCAUGUAUCAAUGGACUUGUUCAUGGGCAAGCAUGUAUGACAACUUAAACAUCAGAAGCAAGUAUGGUGAACAAAAUUACCCGUGCACCAAAUAAAAGGGGGAGAAGUGAACAUGAGGCUAUGAGAUGAUCCCCAAGUUUCAACUUAGAUGUCUGUUUCUAUUACAUGAGAUCUCCGUAAGCUAUAUAUAUGCUACCAACUAUAGAAAACAAGUACUUAUUAUGUUGAAAAAAUCAGUCCAGCCAUUCGUGUAUAAGAAUUUUUUAAAGACCAUCAGGCAAGACACUUGCACUGCUGUACAAUGGUAUCAGGUUUCAGCCAAGGGGCUAGAUCUAACUGCUGCAGGAGGGGACAACACAGAGGCCAUUUCCUUGCAUCACGAAUAAAUGGGCCAAGGAGACACAAGCAGCCCAGAGGCCACACUGGUAUCAAAAAAUAAGACGGUUAGCAGAGGGAAUAAAACUUCAAAAAGGAAACAAAAAAUGGGCAAUCCAAAAAGAGAAAAACGACUGCAUGUUACAAAGCAGUAUUAUCACACAUAGAAGAGCAAACAAUAACUGAUCCCGCGGAGAGCAAGCAAUAACUGAACAAUAUACACACAUAUAAUAAGGUAGGGUUCACUUCAUAAUAUAGGGGAGUUUUAGUUUUAUCUUGCGUUGACACAGCCACUCGAGCAGUCAAAGACUCUAGUUUUAUAGCAUGCUUAAUAAGAAGCAUUUAGUUACAGGAAAGCAUUCAUGAACCCACACCAGGUCGAGCUCCAAAAAACUCUCGCCGAGGCACUCCACCAGAACCAUCCCCAGGAAGCACAAGCUCCACCCAGCAAGGACAGAGCCAUCUUCUGCAACCUCACACAGGUGCAAAAGGGAUGGCAAAGCGCACUCGGCCACCAUAGCCUCCAAAAUAGGAAUAACAACCCAAAAAAACGCACACAUCCUGCUGGCAUGCAAGAACGAAAUAUAUAAUAAAGUACACGACACCCAGCCAUGUCCGGAACAAACGAUUAGGAGUCUAUAGAACAUGAAAGCACACACAGAAAGUAGAGCAGCAAGACAGGAAGAGAUCAAAACAACAAACCUUGACGCGACCCAACGAGCAGAAUGAAGACGCGACGAUGAGCUAAACGGAGAUUCUGCACCAAAUCAGCAAGAUGGAACAACCUGUAAAAUAGAAAGGGAAAUAAUCAGAACAGAACAACGGCAUGCAAAUGCAACUAUAUAGGAACUAUAAAAAAAUAAACCAAUUGUACCGAAAGAUAAAAGAUCACACGCCAUCGUCAAAUAACCAGUCCAUAAAGAUCAUUAGUACUACAUAAGAGAUCAGAAGACAGGAGAAAGCAACGAGCACUGAAAGCACACUGUGCUGCAAUGGUAUUCCAAAAUAGGCGCAACGAUGGAAACAAAAGCAUCAGCAUCAUCAUAUCCUCAUACAAGCCGCAGUAACUAACACCGCGAACCAUGCACAACUAACGCAAGAUGAAAACACACGACAACAUUCAUCGAGCAAUCCUCGCGCAUUUCAUCAAACACCUAACAGUCAUGCACCCAUAGAGAAGCAGAGAAAGCGCGCACUAACCUGGACAGCAAGGACAGAACAAGCCACACUCCUACGAAGGAGCCAACGCAAAAUCCAAGGAAGCUGCGCACGAAGGGAGCAAAUGGAAAUAGACCAGCUCAGCAAAUCGUAGAAACAACAAACAACGGCAGGAAAGAACCGGAGGAGCAGAAUAGAAAGAACCUCAACCGACAGCACCAAUGGAGGAACGGGUGGCCAUGGUGCAGAGCCGGAGGAUAGGGCGUUCGAACAAAACGGAGCGAGGCGACGAAGAGAGCAUGCAGCGAGUGGGUGAAGCGAGCGUGCACAGAAUGAGAAGCAGGAGAAGAAGAAAUGGAGGAAAUUGAGGAGAAAAGGAGGCCCUUGCCCACCGCAACGGCACACCAAACUCACACAGAGCAGCAUUGGAACCCACGAAGCAAACACCAACACGCGGCAUGCGUGGGGCCAG